UCACGCAUCGCGUCUCCCCCAAAUCCACCCCGAGUGGAGGGGAAGGAGGAUGGUCUCCCGCGACUCACCGGUCGCGGCUGGCCUAAAAUUGGAGCCCUCGGCAUCGGGAUGCCGCGGCGAUAGGUGGUGAACAAGGCCUCGGCCAAGCAAGCAACCCGUCGCGCGUCGCCGUGCCAAUGUAAGCUCGAAGGACCCUUUGCCGUUGUCUAACGGCAACCAAACCGUUGCGAC
rnacentral:rRNA from 1 species